rnacentral:rRNA from 1 species
GACGAACGCUGGCGGCGUGCUUAACACAUGCAAGUCGAACGGAAAGGCCUCUUUUGGGGGGUACUCGCGUGUGGAACGGGUGAGUAACACGUGUGUAACCUUCUCUUGACUUUGGGAUAACUUCAGGAAACUGGGGCUAAUACCGGCUAGCAGCUCCUGCUGCAUGGCGGGGGUUGGAAAGGUUCGGCGCUUUGGGGUGGACUCGUGGCUUAUCAGCUAGUUGGUGGGGUAGAGGCCUACCAAGGCGUCGACCAGUAGCUGGCCUGAGAGGGCGACCAGCCACACUGGGAGUGAGACACGGCCCAGACUCCUACGGGAGGCAGCAGUGGGGAAUUUUGGACAAAGGGCGAAAGCCUGAUCCAGCAAUGCCGCGUGUGUGAAGAAGGCCUUCGGGUUGUAAAGCACUUUUGUCCGGAAAGAAAUCCUUGGCCCUAAUACGGUCGGGGGAUGACGGUACCGGAAGAAUAAGCACCGGCUAACUACGUG